GACGGUGACAUCAGAGCUUGCUCUGGUUGAUCAGUGGCGAACGGGUGAGUAACACGUGAGUAACCUGCCCUUGACUCUGGGAUAACUCCGGGAAACCGGGGCUAAUACCGGAUACGAGACGCGACCGCAUGGUCGGCGUCUGGAAAGUUUUUCGGUCAAGGAUGGACUCGCGGCCUAUCAGCUUGUUGGUGAGGUAAUGGCUCACCAAGGCGUCGACGGGUAGCCGGCCUGAGAGGGCGACCGGCCACACUGGGACUGAGACACGGCCCAGACUCCUACGGGAGGCAGCAGUGGGGAAUAUUGCACAAUGGGCGAAAGCCUGAUGCAGCGACGCCGCGUGAGGGAUGAAGGCCUUCGGGUUGUAAACCUCUUUCAGUAGGGAAGAAGCGAAAGUGACGGUACCUGCAGAAGAAGCGCCGGCUAACUACGUGCCAGCAGCCGCGGUAAUACGUAGGGCGCAAGCGUUGUCCGGAAUUAUUGGGCGUAAAGAGCUCGUAGGCGGUUUGUCGCGUCUGGUGUGAAAACUCAAGGCUCAACCUUGAGCUUGCAUCGGGUACGGGCAGACUAGAGUGUGGUAGGGGUGACUGGAAUUCCUGGUGUAGCGGUGGAAUGCGCAGAUAUCAGGAGGAACACCGAUGGCGAAGGCAGGUCACUGGGCCACUACUGACGCUGAGGAGCGAAAGCAUGGGGAGCGAACAGGAUUAGAUACCCUGGUAGUCCAUGCCGUAAACGUUGGGCACUAGGUGUGGGGCUCAUUCCACGAGUUCCGCGCCGCAGCUAACGCAUUAAGUGCCCCGCCUGGGGAGUA
rnacentral:rRNA from 1 species